UUUGGGGAUUGUAAUUCCCAGAGCAUCCCAGACCUCCGGCCUCUAGUGGCUCCUUGGGAAUCACACGCCCGACCUGGAGAAGGAAGCAGCCAGGCACUGCACACACAGGAGGGGGAGCCUGUCGGUCGGGUCAGCAGCGGAAUGGCCUUGUAUGACUCUAAGCUUUGGCAGCGAUUGCUGUUUUGAAGCACCCACUCUUUGCAUAGCCAGGCAGGUCUGGGAAAUGUCCCAUGUGGGGUUCUCGGUGGGCUGACCUGCUCUGAUGUGAGCAGAACCGGAAGACGGUAUCUGGGAGCUGGAGACCCCGGUGGAUGGGCUCUCGGUGGGAACUGGGCUGCCCUCUGUGUCGGCCCCUCCUCGAUGCCAACCGCACCCUUUACUGAUCUCGUAGUCACUGGUUUGUUCAGCGAGCUGUCCAGUCGCAAGUGGAGAUGCUGGCAAAGCAGCAACAAGAUCUGCUGACCUUGUCUCCCCAGGCGUGAGGAGGGCGCUCGGCACUGGGCCUGCAGGCGAGCGUGACAGAGUUUGUGCCCCAGUGGUAUCUCCGGGAGCUGGGCUUCUCCUGACAGACUGGCCCAUGUCCUGCAGAGCCUUGCAGCUGCGGAUGCCACCCUCUCUUCUCUCUGCCUCAUGGGUUUUGUGUCCGGUGGUCUCUGCCAGGGCUUCAGGUGAAUUCGAAUUAUCUGUGCCCUUCCAGGGCCCGGAUCGAUGCAGCACCCACCUGGCACCUGCUGGGGGCAUGAGUUUCAACGUGGAGGAGCAUUGCGCCCCUGGGAGGAGGCAGCUGCCUGGCUUUCCAGAAAGGCCAAAUGGAAGCAGGAUAUCAGAGCGAGAUGUGGAGGCGAUGCGUGAAGUCUCACACAGGGUGUGAUGGUGCCAGUUCCUGCAGUUAUGAGCACAGAAGACCGAGUACAGACCACCAGCAGCCCGCAAGUUUGGGCCGUGGGACCCCUACUGCAUCCGAGUGAAGUCCACAGCCUCGGGGGCACCAGGGCGGGCUUGGCGCACGGGACGCCCCACAGCCGCCAGCUCAGAGUGUGUGCCCGGGCUGCUCCGGCCCCGUGGCUUCCCUUGAGUCAGACCUGAAGAAAGGGUCCCUGACAGACCCUCCCUCUAGGCCACAAACACCUGGGUAGCACUUCCGCUCAGACCUCCAGGACCCGGAAGCCUUGGCCCACGGUGUAGAAUAUCAGGUCAACUGGAGCAGGUUCUGCUGAGGGUUAGAAUUAAAUGAGAGCACAUCUUGCUGCAGAACAACGGACCGGACGGAGAGCUCUGCCGACCUUUCCCCAGGAGCACAGUGCCCUGCUUGGGAAGUGGGGUGCAGGGCCCCCCCAGCCUGGGACCCAGGCCUGACCCUGCCAUCCAGGCCGUGGCCACAGCCUCCCGGCUCCUGCCCGCACACCUCUGGACACAGUUGGUCCUCGUGCACCCACGGGCUGCUUUUGUCCAGAAAGAGUGAAGGCUUCCUCAGUGCCGUUCGGGGGCGGGUGGGCAGAAAGAGG
rnacentral:lncRNA from 1 species